rnacentral:rRNA from 1 species
AGCAUCACUAAAUCACUCGGAACAUACUAAUCUUGUCAGAUUCUGGAAGUUAGGCAGAGUCGGGCCUUUAUUUGGAUGGGAGACCACCAAGAAAGACCAGCGAGCUC